rnacentral:rRNA from 1 species
UACGGAGGGUGCAAGCGUUAUCCGGAUUCACUGGGUUUAAAGGGUGCGUAGGUGGGCAGGUAAGUCAGUGGUGAAAUCUCCGAGCUUAACUCGGAAACUGCCAUUGAUACUAUCUGUCUUGAAUUAUCUGGAGGUGAGCGGAAUAUGUCAUGUAGCGGUGAAAUGCUUAGAUAUCAAGAGGAACACCUGCGGCGAAGGCGGGUUGCUGGGCCGACACUGACGCUGAGGCGCGAAAGCCAGGGGAGCGAACGGG